rnacentral:tRNA from 1 species
GCGCCUAUAGCUCAGGUGGAUAGAGCACAGGAUUCCUAAUCCUGGGGCCGCAGGUUCGAGUCCUGCUAGGCGCA